GGGAGCUCAGGAUGCAGUCUGAGGUUUCCUAGAAAGGACAUCCAGUCUGAGGACUUGUAGAGACAGGAUACCCCAUUCGGUCUGAGGAUUUCGUAGCGGCAAUGAGAACCCACACCGGAUCGAACGCUGCCAGGGAAGCUACAGAGGCCUCCUCCACCACUGUGAAGCUGGGCUUAACUCGGGCACAAUAGAUGCUGAAAUUGGUCACACAGCCUCGAGUCCCAAGGCCCGGACAGAUGUGUUCUAUACACUUGUUUAAACACGGCGCUCAUUAGGAAGUAAGGCAUGUAAAGCAAGUUGAUCACACCACAAAGCAGGACGCUUUAUCACGGGGGCCUCUCCGGAGGCGGCGGGAGGGGCUGUCAGCUGCCACUGUCACUCUGCUGCCCCUCGGAUCCUGAGUGACAGCCAGGCCCGCCACCUCCUCAGCUGCCUGCUCGGAAGUACACAGCUUCCCGUCAGAGCGCCGCCGAGCUGCCUGGGAGGAGAUCCAGUUACUCACAGUUAACCAUGUUCUGAAAACAUUACGUGGGAAACUCCAGAAGAGCUAAGAAGUUAAGCAGCAGACUAGAUCGCCACAGCUGCUCUAUUUUGUUAUUGCUUAUUGGUACCAAUCCCUUGCUGUGCCCAAAUUUAUCGGACAUACGUGCUUCGGACGAAGCGCUGCCAUGGCGUUGGGUGUCUGCUGGGGUCCUGUCUGGAUAAGAGGGCACACUGCAUCUACUUGUAAUGAAAACGGGUUUUCUCCUGGUGACUUGCCCACUGUUGGGUUAUCUGAGACUCCAUGACAAUCUUCUGAGGAUAAAGAGAAGGCAGUUCGCUCUGUGCUGAAGGUCUUUGCGACACGCAUUGGAGUGAGUUGCCCCGGUGACUCAGACUGUGUUCCUGGACACUUUGGAAAGAAGAAUGUCCUUUCUCCCACUAAAGCCUCCUUAGUCUUGAUAUCUGCGGCACAGCGAGGGUAAUGUUGCUUUCCUUGGAAAGGGGUCUAAGUGGACUUCCAUCUGAGUCGGCUUGUGUGCUCUUCCCCAGGAUCUGUGAGUCAUCACCUUUUCCUUCAGCCCAGAUGACACAGUCGUCUGCCCAAGAACCCACAAUGGUUUGUCCUUGGACAAUCUGAAGGACGUGAUUCUGCCUUGAGGGCACAUUUUGGGGAGGUGGAACCUCCAUUUACUUGUCUCCACAAUUGUUUCCUCUGGGCUUUGUGGCUGCCUGUCCCCUGCCUUCUCAUCUGCUCCUGUGACUGUUACUAACCCUCACAUGGGUAAGGAAUUCUGCAUCGUGUGCGCAUGCGUGUGUAAUGCGUCCAGCAAAUGUUCUUAAUGAUGCAUUCAGAGUACCGCUCCCCCAAGACCCAGCUUCCCCCUCAUCCAAAUCCAUCCAUUUUGCCACACAGACCUUGGGGAUGAAAACUCCUGACUCUUUUGUGAAAAGCAAAACACCUUUUGAACACACACACAUGAGUCUAAAUUUACCAAGUUUUCAUUUCCUUCAUGGUUGAGCUUCGAUGACUCAAGUCAUUUGCAGGCAAUCUAUUUAGUUGGCUGGUCCUGCUGACUUCCAAGAGGUCAGCCCUUCUGAUUUUGCUCCUGCAGGGGCAGCAUGUGGCCCCAGCUGGCUACGGGAGCAGAGGGGUUGCGUUGUCUGGAAGCCACGUUGGGAGUUUGCAGGGUGCCGUGUGCUCUGUAGAGAUGGAGGUUUUCAGGGAGAGCUUUGGUUUGGGGUUUGCUGAUGGGAGGUGGGAUUGAUAUGAUUACAUAUACAUUACCGGGAGCAAUAUCUAGCGAUUAGAUGUUAUCUUCCAGGUGUUUAAAAGAAACCUUUAAUAUUUUAAGCUGCUUGGAGGCCUCUCGGCA